rnacentral:rRNA from 1 species
UACGGGGGGGGCAAGCGUUGUUCGGAAUUACUGGGCGUAAAGGGCUCGUAGGCGGCCAACUAAGUCGGAUGUGAAAUCCCCAGGCUCAACUUGGGAACUGCAUCCGAUACUGGAUGGCUUGAAUUCGGGAGAGGGAUGCAGAAUUCCAGGUGUAGCGGUGAAAUGCGUAGAUAUCUGGAGGAAUACCGGUGGCGAAGGCGGCAUCCUGGACCGACAUUGACGCUGAGGCACGAAGGCCAGGGGAGCAAACGGG